GAUGAACGCUGGCGGCGUGCCUAAUACAUGCAAGUCGAGCGAACAGACGAGGAGCUUGCUCCUUUGACGUUAGCGGCGGACGGGUGAGUAACACGUGGAUAACCUACCUAUAAGACUGGGAUAACUUCGGGAAACCGGAGCUAAUACCGGAUAACAUGUUGAACCGCAUGGUUCAACAGUGAAAGACGGUCUUGCUGUCACUUAUAGAUGGAUCCGCGCCGCAUUAGCUAGUUGGUAAGGUAACGGCUUACCAAGGCAACGAUGCGUAGCCGACCUGAGAGGGCGGCCGCCCACACGGACAGUGAGGCAGAGCCGGGCAACUGAGGGGGGGAGACGGGGGGGAUUCUUCCGAAAGGGGGGAAGGCGGAACGUAGAACCGCCGGGGGAGGGAAGAAGGUUUAGGGAUGCAAAAGCUCUGUAAGUGGGAAAGAAAAAAUGUUCAAUUAAACAGGCAGGUCUUGACGGUACCGAAAAAAAAAGCCACGGCUAACUACGUG
rnacentral:rRNA from 1 species